rnacentral:rRNA from 1 species
ACGGGGUGCAGCAGGCGCGAAACCUCCGCAAUGUACGCAAGUGCGACGGGGGGAUCCCAAGUGUUAUUCUUAACAGAAUAACUUUUCAUUAGUGUAAAAAGCUUUUAGAAUAAGAGCUGGGCAAGACCGGUGCCAGCCGCCGCGGUAACACCGGCAGCUCAAGUGGUAGCUGUUUUUAUUGGGCCUAAAGCGUUCGUAGCCGGUUUGAUAAGUCUUUGGUGAAAGCUUGUAGCUUAACUAUAAGAAUUGCUGAAGAUACUGUCAGACUUGAAGUCGGGAGAGGUUAGAGGUACUACCGGGG